rnacentral:misc_RNA from 1 species
AGGAUUCUGGGCAUUUACCUGUGACUCCUUAUGAACCGAUCUAACUACAGUGGUUAGGCUCCUGAAUUUUGAAGGUGAAUAGAUGGUAAAUCUUUGUUCAUAUCUCGUGAGAGGGAAAUUGGCCAAGUGGGUUUUUUGAGGGGCCGCAUAGAAGGGACUGAGAGUGAGAGAGAGAGACAUUAAUGCUUGGAUUAGUUGGCUAUGGAGGUAGAGAGUAAG